rnacentral:rRNA from 1 species
AUUGAACGCUGGCGGCAUGCCUUACACAUGCAAGUCGAACGGCAGCACGGGUGCUUGCCCCUGGUGGCGAGUGGCGAACGGGUGAGUAAUACAUCGGAACAUGUCCUGUAGUGGGGGAUAGCCCGGCGAAAGCCGGAGUAAUACCGCAUACGAUCUACGGAUGAAAGCGGGGGACCUUCGGGCCUCGCGCUAUAGGGUUGGCCGAUGGCUGAUUAGCUAGUUGGUGGGGUAAAGGCCUACCAAGGCGACGAUCAGUAGCUGGUCUGAGAGGACGACCAGCCACACUGGGACUGAGACACGGCCCAGACUCCUACGGGAGGCAGCAGUGGGGAAUUUUGGACAAUGGGCGAAAGCCUGAUCCAGCAAUGCCGCGUGUGUGAAGAAGGCCUUCGGGUUGUAAAGCACUUUUGUCCGGAAAGAAAUCCUUGGCCCUAAUACGGUCGGGGGAUGACGGUACCGGAAGAAUAAGCACCGGCUAACUACGUG